rnacentral:rRNA from 1 species
CCUACGGGAGGCAGCAGUGAGGAAUAUUGGUCAAUGGACGAGAGUCUGAACCAGCCAAGUAGCGUGAAGGAUGACUGCCCUAUGGGUUGUAAACUUCUUUUAUAUGGGAAUAAAACGUUCCACGUGUGGGAUUUUGUAUGUACCAUAUGAAUAAGGAUCGGCUAACUCCGUGCCAGCAGCCGCGGUAAUACGGAGGAUCCGAGCGUUAUCCGGAUUUAUUGGGUUUAAAGGGAGCGUAGGUGGAUUGUUAAGUCAGUUGUGAAAGUUUGCGGCUCAACCGUAAAAUUGCAGUUGAUACUGGCAGUCUUGAGUACAGUAGAGGUAGGCGGAAUUCGUGGUGUAGCGGUGAAAUGCUUAGAUAUCACGAAGAACUCCGAUUGCGAAGGCAGUUCACUGGACUGCAACUGACACUGAGGCUCGAAAGUGUGGGUAUCAAACAGGAUUAGAUACCCGUGUAGUC